UACGUAGGGGGCUAGCGUUGUCCGGAAUCAUUGGGCGUAAAGCGCGCGUAGGCGGUCAGGUAAGUCCGGUGUGAAAGUCAAAGGCUCAACCUUUGAAUGCCGCUGGAUACUGCCUGACUUGAGUCCGGAAGGGGCGAGUGGAAUUCCUAGGUGUAGCGGUGAAAUGACGCAGAUAGUCAGGAGGAACACCAAUGGCGAAGGCAGCUCGCUGGGACGGCACUGACGCUGGAGACGCGAAAGCGUGGGGAGCGAACAGG
rnacentral:rRNA from 1 species